CCUACGGGAGGCAGCAGUGAGGAAUAUUGGUCAAUGGGCGAGAGCCUGAACCAGCCAAGUCGCGUGAGGGAGUACUGCCCUAUGGGUUGUAAACCUCUUUUGUCGGGGAGCAAAAGCCGGACGUGUCCGGCUGUGAGAGUACCCGAAGAAAAAGCAUCGGCUAACUCCGUGCCAGCAGCCGCGGUAAUACGGAGGAUGCGAGCGUUAUCCGGAUUUAUUGGGUUUAAAGGGUGCGCAGGCGGAUUUUUAAGUCAGCGGUAAAAUCGUGGGGCUCAACCCCAUCCAGCCGUUGAAACUGGGGAUCUAGAGUGUGCGAGAGGUAUGCGGAAUGCGUGGUGUAGCGGUGAAAUGCAUAGAUAUCACGCAGAACCCCGAUUGCGAAGGCAGCAUACCGGUGCACAACUGACGCUCAGGCACGAAAGCGUGUGUAUCGAACAGGAUUAGAUACCCCUGUAGUC
rnacentral:rRNA from 1 species